rfam:Oryza glaberrima chromosome 8 Oglab08_unplaced138_35, whole genome shotgun sequence.
AAAAAAACAAACACUAGAUUUCCGUGUUUAAUGUUUGAUCGUCCGUCUUAUUUGAAAAAAUUAUAAAAAAAAUUAAAAAGACAAGUCACGCAUAAAGUAUUAAUCAUGAAAAUACUAAUUGUAAAAAAUUUCAUAUAAGAUGGACAGUUAAACAUUGAGUACGAAAAUUCAGGGUUUGUCUUUUU